CUGGAGGACUAAGAAAGUAGAAUCAGUGAAGUCAGUUGGUUCUACUGAUACUCUCCUCCUAUAUUAAGUGGUAGAAGAACAAGGCCUUGUCUACAAGAUGUGGUUAGGCCUUACUGCUAUCUGCCAACAAUG